GGCUCAGAACGAACGCUGGCAGCGUGGAUUAGGCAUGCAAGUCGAACGGGAUCCGGAAGGUAGCAAUAUCGGCCGGUGAGAGUGGCGGAAGGGCGAGGAACACGUGGGCAACCUGUCUUGAGGUGGGGAAAACCGCUGGAAACGGCGGCUAAUACCGAAUGUAGCGCCCGCUCGCAUGAGCGGAGCGCCAAAGGGGGCGAAAGCUCCCCCUCUUCGAGGGGCCCGCGCACCAUCAGCUUGUUGGCGGGGUAACGGCCCACCAAGGCUCACGGUUAGCUGGUCUGAGAGGAUGGCCAGCCGCACUGGGACUGAGAUACUGCCCAGACUCCUACGGGAGGCUGCAGUCGAGGAUCAUUUGCAAUGGGCGAAAGCCUGACAAUGCGACGCUGCGUGGAGGAUGAAGGCCCUCGGGUUGUAAACUCCUGUCAUGGGGGAAAAGGAAACCCUGCCCAAUACGCAGGGAAUUUGAUGGUACCCCAAGAGGAAGCGACGGCUAACUCUGUGCCAGCCGCCGC
rnacentral:rRNA from 1 species